UACGUAGGGUGCGAGCGUUGUCCGGAAUUAUUGGGCGUAAAGGGCUCGUAGGCGGUUUUGUCGCGUCGGGAGUGAAAACGCCGGGCUUAACUCGGUGCUUGCUUUCGAUACGGGCAGACUAGAGGCAUGCAGGGGAGAACGGAAUUCCUGGUGUAGCGGUGAAAUGCGCAGAUAUCAGGAGGAACACCGGUGGCGAAGGCGGGACUCUGGGCCGAUACUGACGCUGAGGAGCGAAAGCGUGGGGAGCAAACAGG
rnacentral:rRNA from 1 species